rnacentral:rRNA from 1 species
CCUACGGGAGGCAGCAGUGAGGAAUAUUGGUCAAUGGGCGCGAGCCUGAACCAGCCAAGUAGCGUGAAGGAUGACUGCCCUACGGGUUGUAAACUUCUUUUAUACGGGAAUAAAAUGAGCCACGUGUGCCUUUUUGUAUGUACUUUAUGAAUAAGGAUCGGCUAACUCCGUGCCAGCCGCCGCGGUAAUACGGAGGAUCCGAGCGUUAUCCGGAUUUAUUGGGUCUAAAGGGAGCGUAGAUGGGUUGUUAAGUCAGUCGUGAAAGUUUGCGGCUCAAACGUAAAAUUGCAAUUGAUACUGGCAGCCUUGAGUACAGUUGAGGCAGGCGGAAUUCGUGGUGUAGCGGUGAAAUGCUUAGAUAUCACGAAGAACUCCGAUGGCGAAGGCAGCUUACUAGACUGCCACUGACAUUGAGGCGCGAAAGUAUGGGUAGCAAACAGGAUUAGAUACCCGAGUAGUC